ensembl:snoRNA
AUCCUUUUGUAGUUCGUAAGCAUGAUGAUUGGGUUUUCACACUGAUGUGCGAGAUGUGCCUCCCUCAAGCCUUCUUACAAAGCAGGCACAUCACCUGUCUGAUG